rnacentral:lncRNA from 1 species
GGCUGGUCUAAACUUUCCUGGACUAGUUUUGCGCAUCCUGAAGCGCGCGAUGAUUGGCUAGCCGGCACCAGAGGUUUGUGCUCUUUGGCGCCUACCGGAUCUGUAAGGAUGGGGCUACUCGGGUUGCCUCUGCUGUGGUUAGGAUCUAAGGCACCGCGCUAUUGUAAAGGGACCGGCUGGGACGGACGGGUAUAGUCCGAGCCUUACUCAUCCCAGCCUGUUGCUAACCUAUUGAGGUCAAGAUGGCUUAGAGCCACUGAGCUAUGAUUUCCGGGGACCCAGGGCAUCUGGAGCCCUGGGUUGCUGGAAGACACAUGAAUAGCUGGCCACAACUGAGGGGUGAUUUGAGCCUUGCAGUGAAUCCUGUCAGCUUCCUCUCUGCUAGGAAAAGCCAACUCCUGCUUUUGUUUGAAACUUGGUAUGAAAACUAUAUUGGAUGUGGAAUUUUCGAGAAUCACAAUAUGUUUAAGUGUACCCUCAAGAGAUGACACUACUCAGCCCUAUAGUGGCCCCUGACUGUCCUAUGGCCGGUAACUUCUUGAAGGCACAGAGCUAGGAACAGAGGAUGUGCUUCAAGUCUGGCCACAGCUCUCUCUUGUGCUGCCGAUGCUCCGUGGGAUGACAUCUGGCUCAGGAUCAGAUCAGCCCGGUCCACUGUCCAUACCGGAAGGAACAUUGACAUCCAAGGAUGCCUCUGCAGUUGCAUUGGGAGCCAAAGGUCUCAGCACCUAGUCAUAGCCAGUGUCUUCCCUUUAUGAAGGUAUUUGUAACUUUGCUGCUCAUUCCUGGCAGCCUGGAAGUCCUUGUUGCUGCUCAACCCUGUUGGCUGUCUCUUCCCCACUAGGGGAGCUUAGUGUCAUAUGUAAACAUAGACAGGUCCCUGGGUUCUCUCUGGACAAGCACUGGAAAGCAGCUCAAUCCCCGAGGCUGCAGUACCAGCUGGGACAGUUCCCCAUCCAAAGACCAAGGCCUGUCGUGCACAGCAGGAUGGGGUCUGGGACUGUGGUUCCAGAGACCUGACUUCAGGAGUGGAAACCUGCAUGCUGACUCCUGCCUGCAGGCACCGAACGACACACAUGGUCCACUUUGUGCAUAUCACCUUGAUUUUUUUUUUCAUGUCCAUCAUAGAAAAGAGUGAUUAAAAAUGAAAGAAAGG